rnacentral:rRNA from 1 species
UACGGGGGGGGCAAGCGUUGUUCGGAAUUACUGGGCGUAAAGGGCGCGUAGGUGGCCAACUAAGUCAGACGUGAAAUCCCCAGGCUUAACCUGGGAACUGCGUCUGAUACUGGAUGGCUUGAGAUUGGGAGAGGGAUGCGGAAUUCCAGGUGUAGCGGUGAAAUGCGUAGAUAUCUGGAGGAACACCGGUGGCGAAGGCGGCAUCCUGGACCAACACUGACACUGAAACGCGAAAGCCAGGGAGCAAACGGG